AGGAUAGGGAGAAAAAAUUAAAAAAGAGAAAAAGGAGAGGAAAGGAAAGGGAUUUUCCUUUAGAAGAGAAAAGGUCACAAACAGUGAAAGGAGGUCUACAUUUUGGAAAAGGGGAUUUUAUGAUUCCUCUUCAAAAAAAAAAUUCUCCACAAACACUUCUUAAUUUCCCAUUUAUCCAUAGACACCACACCCCUCAACUGUUCAUCGUCUUCCUCCGCUAAGAACACCAUCCGCCGUUCUCACACCCCUCUUCC
rnacentral:lncRNA from 1 species